UUGGAGAGAAUGCCACCUCACGAACAAAGACAGAGAUGAUGUUGUUACUGCUUCAGUCACGAAAGCCCACAUGUGAACUUGGAGAGAAUGCCACCUCACGAACAAAGACAGAGAUGAUGUUGUUACUGCUUCAGUCACGAAAGCCCACAUGUGAACUUGGAGAGAAUGCCACCUUAC